rnacentral:misc_RNA from 1 species
GAUGAAGAACGUAGCGAAAUGCGAUAAGUAAUGUGAAUUGCAGAAUUCAGUGAAUCAUCGAAUCUUUGAACGCACCUUGCGCCCUUUGGCUAUUCCGAAGGGCAUGCCUGUUUGAGUAUCAUGAACACCUCAACCCUCAUGGUUUGCCAUGAUGGGCUUGGACUUUGGGGGUCUUGCUGGAUUGUAGUCAGCUCCCCUUAAAUGAAUCAGCUUGCCAGUGUUUGGUGGCAUCACAGGUGUGAUAAAUAUCUACGCUUGUGGUUUUACAUCAGAUAACCUUCAGUGAUGGAGGUUCACUGGAGCUCAUAAAGGUGUCUCUCCUCUGUGAGGACAGCUCUUUGAAUGUUUGAUCUCAAAUCAGGCAGGACUACCCGCUGAACUUAAGCAUAUCAAUAAGCGGAGGA